GUUUUCCAAUCGUUUUCUCAAAGACUCUGUUUACAGAAACAUAAACAACAUAUUUGCUUUAAGGUGUGUUAAAAUUAAUGUCCAUUUCUAUAAUCACUUUGUUGAAUAGGUUUAGCGACUUUUAUUUGUAAAUAUGGUCUGCGUAAAUUUUUGUUUACAGUUUCCUAUUAAUAAUUUGUCGAGUACUAAAACAAAUCACAACAAUUUACACUUCUCGAUCAUUAAAGACAACUCCUAAAAGUUUAUUUUAGAAUGAGUUUUUUUACAAUUUUGAUCUUACUGGUUUCAAUUGAGUCAUUUAAAAUGCAAGGACCACGUUCCAGAAUAAAAGAUGACAAUACAACAGAUAUGAAAACAAGCACAAAGCACUUCAAUGAAUGUAAUAAUUGUACUGAUGAUAAAUCAAUGCAUUUUAUAAAUACUGGACUCAAAGAAUACUAAAACUUGAAUUUAAAAAGUUGCAGCAUGUCAUUUAGUAACUUGAGUGAGUGGGUUAUGUUAAUGAAGACAGAUUCCGUUUGCAAGAUUUAUCCGGACUAAUGUGAGUGCUUGAAAUUGUGUUACGGAAUGAAAUGAAUAAUAGCAACAUGUUUAAAUAAAAUGAAUCGUGAACCUUAAAAACCGAACUCUGUUAAAGUCUUUUUAUAUACAGCAAUUACAAAGUUAAUUAUAGCUAUGAUUAUUUUUUGAUUAAAAUUUUUUUAAAAUAAUGUCAAUUGAAUAAACAAUUAUAUAUUUACAAAGUAUGUAUACGUUUAAUGUUAUU